GGCUGGGGGUGUGACAUAUAGUCUUGUGGAUAGCACAACAAACUAUAGUAUUCUAGUUAAGUUGAUCCUUCAAUCCCAUAUGGUCAUACUUAAACAAUGCUGUGCUUGUGGAUAGUACAACAAAGCAAUACUAUUCAAAUAUGCUAUAAGCAUCAAUAUGCACUUGAUCAACAUCAUAUCAAUUUCUAUGGUAAGCCUUGUGGAUAGCACAACAAGCUUACUAAGAUCUUGACAUACUCUAUUGAUCAAGUUUGAAGGAAGGUCCUAGUAAUAUCUACAUCGCUUAAACAAUCUAAGUCCGAAAUUCAACAAGAACAAAUUAGCCAGGUAAGUAGGUGGGAGGCACCCCGUAGCUUUUCUAGACACCAACAGAGUUGGCUAGGUCAGCA
rnacentral:lncRNA from 1 species